GGGCAACAUCUUGAGACCCCAUCUCUAAACAAAAUUUAAAAAUUAGCCGGGUGCGGUGGUGUGCUCCUGUGGUCCCAGCUACUCAGGAGGCUGAGACGGGAAGAUCACUCGAGCCCAGGAGGUGGAGGCUGCAGCGAACUGAGAUCAUACCACUGCACUCCAGCCUGAAUGACGGAGCAAGACCUUGUCUCUCUGGGGAAAAAAAACCUGUAAACACUGUUCCUACCUUGUGGGCCGUACCCAGACUAGCUGCUGGCAGGUCUGGUCUUUGGGCCUACAGUGGUGGCCCUGGUGUAGGGGCAGCCUCCCCCUUCGCUUUGAGCAGUGGCCUUCGUUCUGCAGCCAUCCAGUCACUGCUGGCUUGAUCUCAUCCCAGCUGGCGAUGGAUGGUGCCCAGCUGGCGAUGGAUGGUGCCCACUCGAGACCCCGCCACUGAGCACCAAGGUUGGGGGCGGCUCAGCCUCGGCCCUCACCACGCUCUGAAGAAACAGGCCUUGGAACUGGUUUCUGAAAAGUCACUCCUGGUCCAGUAACUUCUCCUCUAACUGGGCACCUUCUUUUUUAGCACGUGCAUCUGUUUGUGAGUCUGGACUCCUGGGUGGUCUGGGCAUCUGCCUGGGCCUCCUCUGUCUUCCCCGCCCCGCAACCUGUCUCGGAGAAUGUUCCCUCCGCCCCGAGUGUUUUUGCAGCCCCUCCUGACAGCCCCGCCGAGGUGAAGCUGUCUCUUCUGCUCUUGUGAUCUGUCCUUUUGAUUUCCUGCCGCCUGCCUGCUCCUCGUGAAGAGCCGCCUCCUGGGGAGGCCACUCCAGGCGGCCACACCGGCACAGAACUCGUGCACCCAGCUCCCAGGCCCAGCCGGACGCGCUAUUUGCAUAAUGGUUAAUUGAUUGUGGCUCAGACUAAUUGGUCAACAGAGCGGAUUGCCAAUAAACCGGCACCACGUUCCAGGAGUGGAAUGGGACUAGAGGCCGUCUAAAUUGCCUGCCAGGAGGAGAUGCAGAAGCCACUGCGCUCACCGCUGCUUGGAACUGUCUUUGCACGCAGGAAGUGGACCCCCCAGAACCAGCCCUUGCACGGCCUGGCCUCCCUGCCCCAGCCGCCCCCUCGCUCCUAGUCACGACCUGCUCCCCCCAGGAGCCCCCUCCCGCCCUCUCCCGUGCACUGCCAUUCUGGGGGCUGCCUUCCCCCAGCAGCGAGCCUGAAAAACAAAUGAAGGCAGCUUCCCAAGGAUGUAGUUUUCUUUAAAGCCUUCAGUAUGUAAAACAAGGCUGAUUCGCUUAUUUUUUUUUUUUUUUUAGUCAUCGGGGGUGCUUUUCUCUGGAGAGGCGGAUGGGUGACUCACGUUUCAAAGCCCAGGCUGCCCCUCCCGCCCCCGGGGAGGUGGUUGGUUCUUCCCUGAGCAGUGCUCUCUCCACAUGGCCUGCCUUCUCCCCUGACCCAGGCUCCCUCCUCAGGGAGUAUCAUGGGGCCAGGGCAGCCGUGUCUGAGCAUCUGUAGCUCAGGCUGGAUCGGGAGACACGGUGGACUGACUGGCUCUGUCUCCCAGACAAGGGGCUUGUGGACACAGGCUGGAUCCUUCUCUGGUGGGGGGAGCAUCCUGGACCCUGCAGGGUGCUGAGCAGCGUCCCUGGCCUCCACCCACUCCAUGCCAGGAGCACCCCCCAAGUCGUGACAACCACAGAUAUCCCCAGACGUCGCCCAGUUCCGCGGGUGGGAACUCCUGCCCUAGACCAAGGGAUGGCAUCAGGGUGGGCGCCAUGCCCUCACCCCAGUGCAGUCCAGCCUUCCCUGCCCUCAGCGUGUCUGUGGGACGACCCCACGUGUUUACCAGGUGCCCUGUGGGGUGCGGAUGGUUCGGCACAGCAGCCUGACCUCAGAGGACAUGGCUUGCUCCCUGCCCGCCACCUUACACGGGUUUCUUCCGGAGCUAAAUCUUGUCGGGCGAGCGUUGGGGGCUGUUUGUAUUCUUCCCCUGAUGGAUGGGUCGCCUAAAACGGCAGCCUGGCUCCUGGUGGGUUGUGUUGCUGUGCGUUCCUUCGCCUUGCCUGAGCCGGAGCCCUCACAGUGCUCUCUGGCACCCACGCGGCGCUCCUCCGUGCAGACUCUCCACGCGAGAAGCGCCAUGUACACAUGCUCCAGCAUGUACGCGCCCCCUGCAGGACAUCUGUGCGCCCGCCUCACCACAGCCUCCCUGGCCCACGGCUGCUCUGUGAGCCCGGCUGGGCCCAGGCCUCGUCUCCCCUACCCCUCCGAGCUCCGUGCUCCCUGUCCCCUCCAGCUCUGCCUUGGCCUGUCGCCCCCGCAGCAGUGCAGGACACCACCACGCCUCUGGCCCUGACUCCCGCCAGGGCUGGCGCACCCCAGCUGCGUUCCUGAGCCCUCCCCACCAACAGGGACCUCAGCCCUCAGGGACAGAACCUCACAAGCACAGGGACCUGCCAGCCCCUGCAGGGAGCGUGCAGCCUCAGGGACUCACUCACUGUCUCCUGUCUCUUUCCUAGAGCUGCUGUUCAUUUUCUCAAAGGUGAAAUUCCUCAGCACAGGGUCUAGUCUUGGGGGCGGGGAGCGCUGGGCCACUUGGGGGCAGGGGGUGGGGGGGCGGCUCUGAGGGCUCAGUCUGGGGCCAACCUCCCAGCCUUCCCUAAGCCUGGGGCAGCCCCAGUCCUCCCCGCCCUGUGAGAAGCCCUGAGCCAGCGCGGCACUGAGAGCUGACGGUCCCACUCUGGCUGCUGCAGGUGGCCCGUGUUACUGGGUGACAGGGCCGGAGGCCGUCCACCCCGCCUUCUGCCAUACAAGCUGCAAAGGACACCUGCUUCCACCUUGGAAAUAUUAGUGCAGUUAUCUGAACUACGUCCCGACAUUUGGCUCAUAGGAAUGAGCCCAGGGGCGUCCAGUUAAGCCUGGCAGGCUAAGUGCUUAUUUAUCUCCACUCUCUCCUGAAACGCCCCUGAAACGCCACAGAGUGAAGUGCAGAGAACAGGAGGGGGGGCAGUGGCAGCUGAGCAUGUCUACAGGCUUUGAAAAGCAGAGAAGGGUGGGCAGGAGACCUCCUGGGCCAGCGACCAGGAGGACAGCCAGCAGGGAGCGGCUGGUCUGCACCACGGGGCCGCAGAAAGACACAGUGGGCAGACGUGGGCAGCUCCUGGGGGGCUGCAGGGGGAACGCACCACGGGGCUGCAGAAAGACAGCAGGCAGACAUGGCAGCUCCUGGGGGGCUGGAGGGAUGCGGGGAUAACCAGCAGAAGGCAGUGGGUGGCUCUGGGCAGGAGGGAGGCGCCUUCCUGAGGUUGGCAGUGGGGCCCAGCUGCCAGCCUCACGUCCCCCCACCCCCAAGGCCAGAAGAGACAAUAGAGGGGGUGGGGUCCUCUCCCAGAGAACAAAGGGGCCCAGUAGAGCAAAGCCACAGAUGCAGAUACUGGGGCUCCCCUAAAGUCACAGGCUCCUACCCUCAGCAGCCCCUGCCACUGCCUUCACCAGGCCCAUCUCACACACGGCUUGUCACCGUGCACAGAGGGAUCAACGGCCAGGGGUCCCCACACAUUGGCGGCCACGCUCCCAUGACAAAGCAGGGCCUGCACAGCGAAGAAGGGAAGAGCUCCGAGGAAGGAGGAUGCAGUGAGCGUGGGGCCCUGGAGCGGUCCGGGAUUUUGCAUUAUGGAAGAAGAGCCAUUGCUGUGAAGAAGAAACAUUGCAGGAACGAGUGACUCUCGGAUGUUACCAUCUAGAGGAGAGAAGCGCCCUGGUGGAUUGGGAGGCUCUUGAAGAAGCCCCUCCCACAGCACAGACGGACCGACAGAGCUGGAAGAUAUGAAGGAUCAGGAAGUCAGAGGCAUAGUCCAGGAAAUCUAGCCCCUGAUUGGAGUUUCAGAAAAAAAGAAAAGUAUCCCAGGACCCAAAUACUUUGCAUUUCCAGGUUUAAAAGUCCGGAAAGUCCACCCAAGAAUGGAAAUUACCCAAACGACAACACAUCGCUGUGAAAUUUCACAACUUCUGGAUUAAACAAAGGCCCUGAAAGCUUCCAGAGCAAACAGAUCACUAAACAGCUCACCAGACUGGGGCUGGGCAUGGUAGCUCACGCCUGUGAUCCCAGCACUGUGGGAGGCCAAGGCAGGAGGAUCUCUUGAGGCCAAGAGUUCGAGGUCAGCCUGGGCAACAUAGCUAGACCCUGUCUCUACAAAAAAAAAAAGAACAGGAGACCCUAUUAGCAUUGGAUCUACAAUCAUAAUGCCAUAAACUAAAAGACAAAGGAAAAAGGCCUUCAAAAGUCAGAAGAGGAAUAAUUCUCCCCAAAUCUUUCACCCAGCCAAAUUGUCAAGAAAUGUGUGAGGAGAAUAAGGAUCUCUUUAGACACACAGAGUCUCGUAUUCCAUCUCCUUUCUCAGGAAGCUGCUGCGGGAUGUGUUCCAGCUAAACAAGGAUGUAAACCAAGGAAGCCAUGGGAUUGAGGAAACAAGAUCUAACCCAGGAGAGUCAAGGGGAGUCUCAAGAUCAUGGGAGAAGGAACCAAGACCCCUAGGGUGUCAUGGAGAGAAGGGGACACCCUGCACAGGAGACCACAGCACGAAUUUAAGAGCAACGGCAGGGAGCUCAGAGAUACCAAGGAAGCUAGGUGUCUUCCUGAGGCCAGUUCCAGACCCCUAUUGGGGGGGUUGGGGAAUGCAGCCCGAGUUGCUCUGUGGCUCAUGGAUGCACAAUGUUUAUGGGGCAUAAAAGCGUACACGUGGAAUUUGGCUGCAGUGGAAGACAGUGGCAGGUGCAGGGAGAGAAGGGGACGGUCAUGGAGGCGAGCAAGGACGGCCACACCCUCAGCACCUGUGCCGGGAGCCAGACCCAGAAAUAAGCAUCGGGUGCAGAAACACGCGAAAGGGGAUGAAGAUGUCAGGGUCAGGAAGAGGCGUGCCCUUAGGACCCCGCAGAUGCCCCAAGUGAUGGAUGCCUCUCUGCCGUGGGCUGUGCCCCCCUUGCUGUGUCUGUGUAUUGAGCCCUACCCAGUUCCAUGUAGUGUGGGACCCAGGGGUCUCAGCCUGGCACUGCUGCAGGUAGGAAAGGGCUGGGCUGCAAGGAUGAGGCCCCAGAGCUCUGGCUGGACACCAGGACAGUCCUGGGCCCUCUGGGGCAGACACAGUAAGGCUUCAAGGCUGUGGGGGUACACCUGGAAGGCUGUAGCAGGGGAGGGCCAUGGUCAGAAGCGACCUCUAGGGUGGGUUUUCAGGGUGGGAGUGGAGGGAGGGACUGCAGUGGGUGGGAGAAGGGAGUAUGGAGCUGGAGGCCGCCAAGGCCAGGUGAGUGGAGUAGGAGGGCACCCUUCUGCUGGUGGUGUCUGGGACCAGGGCGGGUCCACUGUAGGAUCCUGGCCCAGCAGCCCUGGGGCAUUCCCAGACCAGGAGGGCAGCCCACCUUGGGAUGACAGUGGUUACAAGAGCCAGUUGCACCCAGCGCCAAUCUGAAGCUUCCUAUUCCUGAGCCUGCUAUCUCCACAUGGGGCAGGCACCCAGCAUUUCCCUAGCCCUCAAGUGGAGCCUGAGGCUGCCUGCCCGGAGCCGUCCUUGGGCUGCUGUUAUGGAGAAUGUUCUCUGGAGGGCAGGGGCAGCUCCCGUGUCCCCCACCCACCUCCUGCUCCCUGUGUUAGUGACUCUGGCCCCACGCCCGCCCCUGCCUGCCUCCCGCCCCCGCCCGGCUGCCCCACAGCGACCUUGUGUGCAGCAUGCUGUGUGAUGCCAUGCCUCUGGGCCACCCGCUUUCUGCCUUGAGUCAUUGUGGUGGGCCAUGCUGCAGACGUCGGGGAGCACUGAUUCUAGCGAGUUAGGCAGCUGAGGAGCAAGGACUGGCAGUGACUAGUGUGCUAGGAAGGCUUCCUGGAGGAGGCGCCCCAGAAGCCAGCAUGGAGCACAGGGCGGGCAGAGUGGCUGGGAGCAGCGGUGGGCAGGGGUCAGGUCCGAGUGUCCUGAGGGAGCAUGGGCUGCUGCUGGCCCAUGUGACAGCCUGGCUCAGGCAGAGGCGAGGAGGUCCUGGUGACAGAAGCCCCGCCAGCGGGCCCACCCCACCCCCAUCAGAUGAACCUGCCCCACCCUGGUGACCACUUGGUCCUUGGAGGGGCAGCUGCCACAGGGACCCCUGUGGGAUUGAGGUGACCGAGUCUGAGCCCACAGGGACAGGGGACACGGGAAGCACCCAGAAGCCGCAGCCGGCAUUGGUAAUUGUCCUGGAAACACUGGCGCUCCCAGCUCUGCCUGGCUGCUGGCGGGCUUGACGCGGCUGGCUCUCAACUGGGAAGGGGAGAAAGGCCUCCGGGGGGCCGGGCUGUGCAGCCUCAAGCUCAUGGCCUAGUGAGGCCCCUGGCCAGGCCAGGGCUUAGGGCAGCUGCAGGGGGUGGGCCUGGAGGAGGUGUAGACAUCACACGCCCAGGGGAGGCGCCAGGCCUCGGCUUCUCUGCACUCCCGGCUUCUGCCUGAGCUCCCUGGGAGCCACCCGCUCCGCAUCUCCAAAAACUUUUGCUUCCUUCCUGGAAAGGCCCUGGAGGUCCCCGGGGGAACCUGGUGCGAGGCCCUGGCCGCUCAGCUGCAGGUUCACCCGGCUGUCACUUUUCCUCCUUCCUUUUUCAGCUCCCCCCCUCUCAUUUCUAAGAAGUGCUAGCUCAGCCAAGCUUGUAAGCCUUGGGCUGAAUCCCUCACUUGGGGCUGGUGUGCAGGGACCGGGACCUCCCUGAUGUACCCCGGGAUUGUGGGUAUCCAGGCUGGGCAUACAGGAUGCGCCUCCUCUUGGCCAACGCCUGCCCUGUGAGCAGAUCCUGGGCUCGGGGUGCAGAGGAGGCCCUGGCAGACCCUGGGGCGUGGGCACAGGUCAGAGCAGCAGAGUGUGAGCUGGGGCUCCCAUGCGCCUCAAAGGCUGCAGAGAGAGGACCCAGGGAGUCGGGGACAGAGCCAGGUGCCCAGGACCAGGUGUCCUGGGGAGUUGAGCAGAA